rnacentral:rRNA from 1 species
AAUCAACGCUGGCGGCGUGCCUCAGACAUGCAAGUCGAACGCGAAAGUUCCCUUCGGGGGCGAGUAGAGUGGCGCACGGGUGAGUAACACGUAGGUAAUCUACCUUUGGGUGGGGAAUAACAGCCGGAAACGGCUGCUAAUACCGCAUAAUGCAGCGGCUCGACAUCGAGACAGUUGUUAAAGCGGGGGAUCGCAAGACCUCGCGCCUAAAGAGGAGCCUGCGGCGGAUUAGCUUGUUGGUGAGGUAAUGGCUCACCAAGGCAUCGAUCCGUAGCCGGCCUGAGAGGGCGGUCGGCCACACUGACACUGACAUACGGUCAGACUCCUACGGGAGGCAGCAGUCGGGAAUUUUGGGCAAUGGGCGCAAGCCUGA